AACGAACGCUGGCGGCAGGCCUAACACAUGCAAGUCGAGCGCCCCGCAAGGGGAGCGGCGGACGGGCGAGUAACGCGUGGGAACGUGCUCUUUGCUACGGAAUAGCCCCGGGAAACUGGGAGUAAUACCGUAUAAGCCCUACGGGGGAAAGAAUUAUCGGCAAAGGAUCGGCCCGCGUUGGAUUAGGUAGUUGGUGGGGUAAGGGCCUACCAUGCGGAAGAUCCAUAGCUGGUUUGGGAGGAUGAUCAGCCACACUGGGACUGAGACACGGCCCAGACUGCUACGGGAGGCAGCAGGGGGGAAUCUUAGACAAUGGGGGCAAGCCUGAGAUGGCCAUGCCGUGUGAGCGAUGAAGGCCUUAGGGUUGUAAAGCGCUUUCGUGGGGGAAGAUAAUGACUGUACCCCAAGAAGAAGCCCCGGCUAACUCCGUGCCAGCCGCCGCGGUAA
rnacentral:rRNA from 1 species